GCGGUGUGAGAGGUUGGGCUACACACACUUGCAGUCGGGACCUGCGGCAUCAGUGGACAUGACAAGACGCCUCCACUCGUCGUCGAUGAGAUGACAUUAAAGAAUCCACCGCUACUUCCGCUCAUUCAGGCGGAAUAAGGUCACACUGUUUAAUGUGUGGGAAACUUCUGAGCACCGUAGAGGAAUGACCCAAACGUCGCGGGAGGGAUUUUAAAAGCAGGAAGGUUCGGAUCCGAGCGCAUCAGGGAUCGCAUCUGUUUCCACCGCUGAAAGCACAAGAUGACAAUCAUACUGGACUUUGAGGAGUGUUUGAAAGACUCGCCACGUUUCAGAGCUGAAAUCGAAGAUGUCCAAAAUGAAGUGAGUGAACUAGAAACAAGAUUAGAAAAGCUUGUGAAACAAUGCCAGGCCAUGUUGGAUGCCGGACGUGUCUACUGCCAGGCCAGCAGGAACUUUGCCGGUGGCCUCAGGGAUCUGGGCCAUCACUGCUCAGGGGACACUAUGAUGGCGGAUUGUUUGGGGAAAUUUUCCCACAAACUGACUCUCAUUUUGGAAGCACAAGCUGAGGUGAUCGAUGUGACACAGAAGACGGUCAAGAGCAAGAUACAGAACUUUGUCAAAGAAGAUGUGCGUCGAUUCAAAGAUGUGCGGAAGGAAUUUGAGCGCAGCAGUGAGUGUCUGGAGGGGGCGCUGGCCAAAAAUGCUCAGGCGCCGCGGAACAAACCGCAUGAAGUAGAGGAGGCCAGCAGCGCUCUGCUAAACGCUCGGAAAUCAUUCCGCUCCAGUGCGCUGGACUAUGUCCUGGAGAUAAAUGUCAUUGAGGCCAAGAAGAAGACUGACAUUCUGAUGGCAAUGUUGUCACUGCUGGACGCUCAGGCUCAACUUUUCCAACACGGCCACGAGUCCUUGUCAGAGCUGGAGGAAUACCGAAGAAAUUUAUAUGAUGAGCACACCCAGUUUGUCCUGAAUUCUGCCCGAGAGAAGAGAGACAUGGAACAAAAACACGCCGCCAUAAAGAAGAAGGAUAUUUCUUACGACGACUCCAUCAUGCAUUUCAACGGUGAUGCCGCCAACGGCAUCCCCAUGGAGGGUUAUCUCUACAAGAGAGCCAGCAACGCCUUCAAGACCUGGAACAGACGUUGGUUUUCCAUUCAGAAAAAUCAGCUGAUGUAUCAGAAGAAAUUCAAGGACCAGCCGACCGUUGUGGUGGAGGACUUGCGUCUUUGCACCGUCAAACCCAGCGCUGAAAACGAGAGACGAUUCUGCUUUGAGGUCGUGUCUCCGUCAAAGUGCUGCCUGUUGCAGGCUGACUCAGAGAGGCAGCAACAAGCCUGGAUCAGUGCGGUGCAAAACAGCAUUGCGUCUGCCUUCCAAGAGUGCAGAGAAGAUCCGCUCAGCCCAAGGCAGCGCUGCAGCUCAGUGUCAGCAGACAGUCCAAGAGCGUUGGAUCAGGACAAUGAAGGAGUCAAGGCGCUGGAUGAAGUUCAGGCCAUCCCGGGGAACAGGCAGUGCUGUGACUGUGGAGAGCCAGGUCCUGACUGGGCCUCCAUCAACCUCGGCAUCACGCUGUGUAUCGUCUGCUCAGGGAUACACAGGAGUCUCGGGGUCCAUUUCUCUAAAGUGCGAUCGCUCACUCUGGACUCCUGGGAGCCAGAGCUGGUGAAGUUGAUGCGUGAAUUAGGAAACGCAGUGAUCAACAAGAUCUAUGAGGCGCGGAUCGAUGAGAUCACCAUUAAGAAGCCUCAGCCCUCCAGUCCGAGAGGAGACAAAGAAUGCUGGAUCAGGUCAAAGUAUGUGGAGAAGAAGUUCAUCCAAAAGCUGCCACAGACCAGCAGGAACCCUCCGCUGAGGCGUUCCAGUGCUCGCAGGACCCGAGCACCCUCGCAGGAUCAGAACGGGCAAAAACCUCCUUUGAGACCAAAACCAAGUCGGGCUACUUUGCCUCGACUCACUGGUGCAGGUCUGAGCCCCACUGAAACCUCCGCAAAUGACACAGGUGUCAUUAAAGACUGUCACCAGGAAGACGAGGAUCUCAGUGACCUUCACCCCGGAGCACUGCUCUACCGUUCAGCUGCCAUGCAGAACUUCCCUAUCAUGGCCGACGCUCUGGCCCACGGAGCCGACGUCAACUGGGUCAAUGUGUCCAAGGAGUCCACCACGCCACUCAUACAGGCCGUGUCUGCGAAUGCUUUGGCUGCCUGUGAGUUCCUGCUGCAGAACGGUGCCAACAUCAACCAGGUGGAUGGCAACGGGAGAGGCCCACUUCAUCAUGCCACUAUUUUGGGGCACACAGGGCUGGUGUGUCUCUUCCUGAAACGAGGCGCAGACUACAACGCCAAAGACAAGAACCAGAAGGACCCCAUAACCAUCGCUGUGGACAACGCCAACGCUGACAUUGUUACCUUACUGCGGAUUGCCAAAAUGAACAAGGAGAUGCGGGAGAUGGACGGCGCGUUCGGCCAACCAGGUCACUCGGGGCGCCAGCAGGGAUCUGGGGGAACAAGGAAGAGCCUACAGGCUCUAAAAAACCACAUAAGUGGCUGGGCUCAUGGAGGGCACCACGAUUAGCAGAGUUUACUUCUGUUGAAAGCUUGAACCCAAAAGUCCUGACUCAGGAGAAAAACCAACAGAUCCAUAGUGGCUGAACACUAAACAUUCUAAAAAGAGCCUCCAGUUGAAACUGCACUUUCAUUCAAGACUGCCGCUCUCUGAAACCCACACAUCGCCAAAAUACUAUUUCACAAGACAGAGAGCAGCCAGUGGGUGGAUCUAUUUUAUAACUAUUUAUAAAAGAAGCCCAGUGCUGUUUUUACAGGGUGAUACAUUGUGUCUUUUUACACAUUUGCACUGGCCUUUUUGUGCAUGUUCAUCUUUUCAGUUACAUAAGCUGAAUCUUCACAAUCCCAACUAUUCUGUGAAUAGUGAUGUUCUGUUACAUAAUUUCUGGAUAUUUAUGCAAAUAUUUGUCUUGAUUGUGCCGUCAUUUUGUGUCGUUUUGAAGGGACAAUAGAAUGUCUCCCUUUGGUUUUUACCCGAUAAGUGACCUAACUGUUCUCACCAAAAAGCCAGACAACAUUGUAAAUGUGACGCUUGCGUUUGCUUGACACCGAAACACUGCUGGCCGGUACUUGACUUUGCUUAAUGAUUGUGUGUCUUUGUGUGCACUGUGCCUUUGUGUCCACUGAGAUGUCCUUCUGGUCUGAAGUGCUUGUGCAGUGUGCCACCCAUGUCACGUAUGAGGCGAUGAAACCUACCAGGACAUCUUCAGAGACUUUUCACACAUGGCAUCCAACAACCCGGAGAAGCUCAAGCGCCGCAGCGCAGACCCUCAUUUUUAGUGUUUGUUGUUGCGAGUGCCCAAAAAGAUUGGACACACGUUUACCUGUGACCUGUUCACUGAGGUGGAGAUAUAAUUUUGAAAUGUAAUGAUGUCCGUACGGAACAUUGUGCCCAUAUAUCACGUUUAUAUCACGACAGUGGUGUGAGGCUCGUGCUCCUGCCUCUGAUGCAAAUGUUGUUUUUUUCAUCUGCUUGUCUUUUGCUAAAAAUAAAUACUUUCAGAAGUGAUCUUUCCGGUAGUUUUAAUAUAAACAACAGGAUCCACAUACACAAUCGUGUCGUCAUGGAUGUUUACAUACAAGUGUGCGAUUGUGUAUAGUACAGUGUUUCCACCUGUGCAAAAACAUAUUUAUACAUAAACACGCGCUACGCACAGCCAAUAUUUAAAGAUACAUCAGAGAACGUGUACAUAUCAUAAAUGUGUCAUAGUUUGCUGAACCCUGUGCAUAUUUUUGUGUAAAGCUUUGAAUCAGUUCUUGCACAGUGUUCAUUACAAUUACUUAAGUUAAAGAUAUAUUCAUCAGUGUCAGUGGUCAGUCAAAACGUUCUGCCCAAAUUCUACCCCAACGUUGGCUCCUUUAUUGAGGCGGUCUAAUGUUUGUGCUCGUCUUUCACUGUAUGAAGGUCUUCCCCGUCGUCCUCAUUGGCCAGUUCUUUCAUAGGAGUAGGGUCAGAGCAGGAGAAGAAGUGAGGAAGUGUGGUGAUGGUCAGAAUGCCUAGAUGGGUGAAGGCUCCUGACACGAUGAAUGAGACUGUGUAGUCUUCCGUGCUGUCCUUGAGCAGCCCUGGAAAUGAGGCAGAGGCAGGGGCAUGAAACACCACACCCGUCACAUUUACAUAUAUCUUGCUGCUGAUCUUUGAAUUUAACGGUGUGGAAUCCCCGAACUUCCCUGUCCCCUGCUACUCCAGCCAUAUAUGCAAAUGUUCACAAGUAAAGUUGUGAUUUCCAAUCAAGGGUUGUGAUGAUAAGUCAGCCUGCACCACCGGAACAU